GACGAACGCUGGCGGCAUGCCUAAUACAUGCAAGUCGAGCGAACAGAUGAAGUGCUUGCACUUCUGACGUUAGCGGCGAACGGGUGAGUAACACGUAAGGAAUCUACCUAUAAGCGGGAGAUAACAUUCGGAAACGGGUGCUAAUACCGCAUAAUAUCUUCUUCCGCAUGGAAGAAUAUUGAAAGACGGCUCUGCUGUCACUUAUAGAUGACCUUGCGGUGCAUUAGUUAGUUGGUGGGGUAACGGCCUACCAAGACGAUGGUGCAGAGCCGACCUGAGAGGGUGAUCGGCCACAUUGGGACUGAGACACGGCCCAAACUCCUACGGGAGGCAGCAGUAGGGAAUCUUCCGCAAUGGGCGAAAGCCUGACGGAGCAAUGCCGCGUGAGUGAAGAAGGCCUUCGGGUCGUAAAACUCUGUUAUAAGAGAAGAACAAAUUGUAGAGUAACUGCUACAGUCUUGACGGUAUCUUAUCAGAAAGCCACGGCUAACUACGUGCCAGCAGCCGCAGUAA
rnacentral:rRNA from 1 species